rnacentral:rRNA from 1 species
UACGGAGGGGGCUAGCGUUGUUCGGAAUUACUGGGCGUAAAGCGCACGUAGGCGGCUUUGCAAGCCAGAGGUGGAAGCCCGGGGCUCAACCCCGGAAUUGCCUUUGAGACUGCAUCGCUAGAAUUGUGGAGAGGUAAGUGGAAUUCCGAGUGUAGAGGUGAAAUUCGUAGAUAUUCGGAAGAACACCAGUGGCGAAGGCGACUUACUGGACACAUAUUGACGCUGAGGUGCGAAAGCGUGGGGAGCAAACAGG